rnacentral:rRNA from 1 species
GCAAGUCGAACGAGGUGGCCCACUGAUUAGAUGGAAAUUGGAGUGCUUGCACAAAGACGGAAAUCUAUGACGUGGAUCUUCCACCUAGUGGCGCAAGGGUGAGUAACACGUGGGUAAUCUACCUUCGAGUCUGGAAUAACAGUUAGAAAUGAUUGCUAAUGCCGGAUGAUAUUGAGAACGAUACUUCUUUCUUUAUUAAAAGGGGCCUUUAAAGCCUCGCUUGAAGAUGAGCCUGCGCCGUAUUAGCUUGUUGGUGGGGUAAUGGCCUACCAAGGCAACGAUGCGUAGCCGACCUGAGAGGGUGAUCGGCCACACUGGGACUGAGACACGGCCCAGACUCCUACGGGAGACAGCAGUUAGGAAUAUUCGUCAAUGGGGGAAACCCUGAACGAGCAAUGCCGCGUGAAGGAAUGAAGGUCCUAUGGAUUGUAAACUUCUGUUGUUAGGGAAGAACGAGUUGUAUAGGAAAUGAUACAACAAUGACGGUACCUUUCAAGAAAGCUCCGGCUAACUACGUGCCAGCCGCCGC